AGUGAACGCUGGCGGUAGGCCUAACACAUGCAAGUCGAACGGCAGCACAGGAGAGCUUGCUCUCUGGGUGGCGAGUGGCGGACGGGUGAGGAAUACAUCGGAAUCUACUCUGUCGUGGGGGAUAACGUAGGGAAACUUACGCUAAUACCGCAUACGACCUACGGGUGAAAGCAGGGGACCUUCGGGCCUUGCGCGAUUGAAUGAGCCGAUGUCGGAUUAGCUAGUUGGCGGGGUAAAGGCCCACCAAGGCGACGAUCCGUAGGUGGUCUGAGAGGAUGAUCGGCCACACUGGAAGUGAGACACGGUCCAGACUCCUACGGGAGGCAGCAGUGGGGAAUAUUGGACAAUGGGCGCAAGCCUGAUCCAGCCAUACCGCGUGGGUGAAGAAGGCCUUCGGGUUGUAAAGCCCUUUUGUUGGGAAAGAAAUCCAGCUGGCUAAUACCCGGUUGGGAUGACGGUACCCAAAGAAUAAGCACCGGCUAACUUCGUGCCAGCCGCCGCAGUAA
rnacentral:rRNA from 1 species